CUAUAUAUACCCUGUAGAUCCGAAUUUGUGUGAAGAAAAAUUCGGUCACAAAUUCGCAUCUAGGGGAGUAUGUAGU
rfam:Scleropages formosus scaffold2757, whole genome shotgun sequence.